AGUGAACGCUGGCGGUAGGCCUAACACAUGCAAGUCGAACGGCAGCACAGUAAGAGCUUGCUCUUACGGGUGGCGAGUGGCGGACGGGUGAGGAAUACAUCGGAAUCUACUUUUUCGUGGGGGAUAACGUAGGGAAACUUACGCUAAUACCGCAUACGACCUACGGGUGAAAGCAGGGGAGCUUCGGACCUUGCGCGAUUGAAUGAGCCGAUGUCGGAUUAGCUAGUUGGCGGGGUAAAGGCCCACCAAGGCGACGAUCCGUAGCUGGUCUGAGAGGAUGAUCGGCCACACUGGAACUGAGACACGGUCCAGACUCCUACGGGAGGCAGCAGUGGGGAAUAUUGGACAAUGGGCGCAAGCCUGAUCCAGCCAUACCGCGUGGGUGAAGAAGGCCUUCGGGUUGUAAAGCCCUUUUGUUGGGAAAGAAAAGCAGCAGGUUAAUACCCCGCUGUUCUGACGGUACCCAAAGAAUAAGCACCGGCUAACUACGUG
rnacentral:rRNA from 1 species